CACUCUCUAACUAAUUAGGUCACUACAAAUUCUCUAAAAUAGUGAGAAACAACGCCAAGUGAGUCUUUGAAAUUGUAUUACUUUAUACAAAACAAGCUCUUGGCUUAAAUAUGAAUGUCCAUGGGCGGGGUCGCCUCUGAGUUUAUGUGAUAACACAAACUUUGCUUUUAAUCUAGUUUAAUUUUUAUUGUUGCAAGUUCAUAUUUCAAAGGGUAAUAACUAUCUUCCAUUAUUUACAGUGAUUCCCCUUUAACAGCUAUUGUCAUUUUUUUUGUUCAAUCGAUCGUUUAGCUUUUCUUGAGAGAUAAGUUUUAUUUUGUGACGCAUGGUAGAAAAAGAUGUUUUACUUUGUCU